UCGUAGGAACUACUAAUUUUAAAGUCGAGGCAGUAAAGGACCAUGAGAGUUCCCGAAGUCAUCAGGAGAGCCUAAGGAUUAAAACUGCCAAGACAGGCCGUAUGGAAGAGAGCCUUGCUGGGAGAAGCCUCGCUUUAUUGAAGACGUCUGAGUUGGAGAAGAUGCAGCUACUUUUUCGAAAUGCCCACACCAUCGGAAAAAAGGGCAGGCCUUUCACCGACUUUGCAUGGAUGUGUGAUCCCAGGAGGCCACGAACAUCAAUUUUGUUCUGAGGGCAAAAGCCAAGGGGUUCCUCAAAAUAGGCAAGGAUGGUGGAGUGCUCAGGUUUUGCUGCCUUCUCCAUGACACCAUCUUCCAACUGAGCAACCUCUCCAAGUCACUGCAGAGGUCAGUGUCAACCCUGGCUGAAGCUCAGAGCUGCCUUUCCUCUACUCAGGCUGUCAUAGAAAAGUACAAGUCAAGACCUGGGCCUAAGCUGAGAGCAGUGCUGUACACAGACUCCUAUGAGGGAGUCCUCCUGAAGCUUACUGAUGCCGACCAGCAUGACAAGGCAAAGAAU